CAUAUCAAUUUGAAACACCGGCUCUUGUACGAUCAUCAAAGUUAAGCAACGUCGAGCCUGGUUAGUACUUAGAUGAGUAACCGCUUGAGAAUAACAGAU